rnacentral:rRNA from 1 species
UACAGAGGUCUCAAGCGUUGUUCGGAUUCAUUGGGCGUAAAGGGCGCGUAGGCGGCGUGAUAAGUCAGAUGUGAAAUCCCGGGGCUCAACCUCGGAACGGCAUUUGAAACUAUCACACUAGAGGGUAGGCGGAGAAAACGGAAUUCCACAAGUAGCGGUGAAAUGCGUAGAUAUGUGGAAGAACACCGGUGGCGAAGGCGGUUUUCUAGCUUAUUCCUGACGCUGAGGCGCGAAAGCAAGGGGAUCAAACAGG